UUCCUCACCACCACUAUCUCCACCUUAUCCUCAAAUCUACCACUACCAUUGGCUUUCCAUUGUCCUCCAACCAAUUUUCAAACAUCCACCUUUCAUCUUCACACAUACUAUAUCUUCGAUUGUUCUAAGCACUAUUCACAUUUUAUGCAACCACCAUGGCUGCUUCAGUAAGUGAUGUGGUCUCCUUUCCUUCUUCAAAAUCCAUAAUUGUUUCAACCAGAACAUCAUUAAUCUCUCCAGAAAGACUCCCUUUCACCAAGGUAGUCGUGUACACACGAAGGAGCUUUGAGUUACUGUGAUACGAAGAACGCCAGACUGGAGUUAAAGGUGGAUCUGACGGGCGUCUAGAUGUUUCAGGUUGUGUUAACAAUAAAAGAUGUCAUCCGGUCUCAUAGGGUUUGGUUAGUGUGUCUUCUCCUGGACGAGACACAUCUUCCAAAGCCUGGUUUUAUGUAAUGUCUUUUGUCGAGUCCUUGUGAACUCUUAAGCAACUCGUAUGGUUUGUAAUUCGAAUUUGAAGUCUAUGUUUCAAGACAAUGUUGUUAUGUUUUUAAACUUAUUUAAUGGAUGAUCAUCUUUGGUUUUAUCA